GCAGAUUCUUUCGCUGUGCCCAAUUAGCUGCUGCCGCGCCUUGGAGUCCGGAGUAACUUGGCCAGGCUGGCCCCGAGCGGAACUGGAGAAAGCUGAGGGGGUUGGGCAUGUUCCAGGAUCUGUCUAUCGACUUCUCUCAGGAGGAAUGGGAGGGCCUGGACACUGCUCAGAAGGACUUAUAGAGAGAUGUAAUGAUGGAGAACUAUAGCAGCCUGGUCUCACUAGGUCUCUCUAUCCCAAAGCCUGAUGUGAUUUCCUUACUGGAGCAAGGGAAAGAGUCCUGCAUGGUUUCAAGGGACGUACCAGGAGGAUGGUGCCCAGAUAUAUAUAUAUGGAAAAGAGAAGGUCCAAGAAUAUCAAAGACAUUGAAGAAGAGGAAAGAUUUGUCCUGCCAAAUAUCAGAACUUUUAUAAAGCUACAGCAAUUAAGACAGUGUGGUCCUCACUGAUAAACUGACUAAUGAAACAGAAUAGAGAGCUCCCAAGCAAAUCUCUACAAAUUUAAUCUUCGAUACGUGAUGUAGGUGACAUGGCAGAUCAGUAAGGAAAGAAAGGACUUUUCAAUAAAUAGAAUAGAAAAAUAAUGGUUAUUGAUAUAAGAAACAAAAUGAAAUUAUAUUCCUACUUCACUCUAUAUACAAACAUUAAAUUCCAGAGGACCAAAGACUUACAUGUCAGAAACAAAACUUUAAAACUUUUAGUAGAAAAUGUAAGUGAAUGGGACACAAAAAGCCAUUUAACCAUUAAAAAAGAUUAGACAUUUUGACUAUCACAAAAUUAAGAACUUUUUACAUCAAAAAGUGGAAAGAUAGGCUGGUCACAGUGUCUCAAUCCUGUAAUCCCAAUAGUAUAUCACCUGAGGUCAGGAGUUUGAGAGCAGGCUGGCCAACAUGGUGAAACCCCAUCUCUACUAAAAAUACAAGAAAUUAGCUGGGCAUCAGUGGCAGACACCUGUAGUCCAAGCUACUUGGGAAGCUGAGGCAUGAGAAUCAUCUCAACCCAGGAGGUGGAGGUUGCAGUGAGCCACUGCACUCCAGCCUGAAUGACAGAGCCAGACUCUG
rnacentral:lncRNA from 10 species